GUACUGAUGAGGAGUCCCAAUCUAGGACGAAACAGCUGUCCAGUAC
rfam:Trichobilharzia regenti genome assembly, scaffold: TRE_scaffold0008609